rnacentral:rRNA from 1 species
AAAAAAUUUCAUAUCCAAUCCACCUCAUGUGUUUUAUGUGAUGAUGAACCAAAUGAGCACUUGAUGCACCUCUUUUUCAGCUGUGAUUUCAGUCAGAAUUUCUGGAUGAAUAUUGGCAUCCAAUGGAAUACAGAUUUUGAUCUUCUUGAAAUGUUGUUGGAUGGCAAGAGACACAACAAUAUUAAGUGCUAUAAGGAAUGUUUGAUUGCAGGUUGUUGGAGCUUAUGGAAGCACAGGAACAAUAUCAUAUUUGAUCAUAAGGAAAAGAAUAUGGCAUAUUGUAUCAGUACAUUCAAACAACACCUUGAUAUGAUUAUCAAAAAAGCAAAGCCUAGUUUGAAGGAAGGAAUGCAGAGCUGGCUGGACUAUUUGUAG